GACGGGCCGUGCCCGGCCCGGCGCAGCCCCGCUCGCGGGAGGAGCCGGAGCCCCCAUCCCGUCACAGGGCAUCCUGUGUGCUGAAUCGCAUUCCUUCCAGUUCCCUCUGGUUGUCAGUGGACAAACCCAGCUUGACAUUUUUCCGCAUCUUCCAUCAGCAACACAAGAAAGUACUUCUGUCCAUACUGUUAGCCUGCUAAUGUUAAUGGACCAUCCAGAUAUCUAGAAUCAUGCAGGAAAAGUUGUACAGGAAGAUGGGCCAGCGACUCAUAUCACCAUCCAGACAGUGGACAAUAAAUAUGAAUGUAAUGUGAGAAGUUGGUGAUGGAAAAAAGUGUCCCAAAUGUGGCCUGGUUCCAAAGCCUCUGCAGCAGGUUCUGUUUGCCCCCACUGCCUUUUAAGAAACUACAGGUGAAUACCCGGAACUUGUGAUGCCAGAUGCGAUGCAGUCUUUCCAUCUCUCAUGUUCCUGUGGAACCAUUCUCUCCACCCUUCCACCCACAGUUUGGCAGAAUGGAGAUCAACAGAGAUGCCUACUUAAAAUCAAAGGACAGCAGAUACUCAUUAGCUGGCAAAUGUUCAGUAUUGAAGCUUGAGGGAGAAAUUAAAUAUUUCUCAUAAUGGAAGUAUCCACUGGCCAUCCCUGUAUAUUCAACUUUUCAUGAUAAACCUAAGUAGAUAUUACACUAUUUAAUUCUUAUCUAUCUUUCUGUAAUGUGGUUAAUAUUUCUACCAUGUUUAUGUAGUUUCAGCUGUAGGGAAACCCUUUUCUAGGGUCAGAGUACAAUGCUUCAGUUUUCCAGCUGGAAGAACAUGAAUUUAAAAACAAAAUCUAAAUAUAAACUUAUGUGAACUGGGCAGGCCUAAACCAGCACUGAUACCCAGAUAAAUGGAUGUUUCCACUCAGAGAAACAAAAUUACAGAUAUGGAAACUUAAAAAAACAAACUGUAGCUAAAGCAUCACUUUGAAUUUUAGGACUUUUAAACUGGAGGAUGGGAACCCUCUGCUUGAGUUGAACUAAUUUUUCAUAAGUUUGAUUUAUUAUUAUAAGUUCAUUAUUAUGGUAGAUGGAUAUUUUUUGCACAGCUUUAAAACAGAUGACCCUCAAUUAACCUUUUCCCCAUGUCAUGGAUGUUUUUUAGGCUCAGCAGUUCUCUCUUAAUUUCAAGUCCACAAAUAUUGUAUUGAUGUUUCUGAGUGAGAAUUAGAAGUGAUGACAUCUUAGGUUAGAUUUCACCAACCUCUUUAAGUACCUGUAGAUCUUUCCAGUCUACAGUUAAUAAAUGCUGUAGAAAGAGAGACUGACUGUUACUGGCAGAUUGGGACUACCCAGUAUAAUUCAUUUCUUUAUUGAGAGAAAUUAAUUCCAAAACAUUUGCAAGUUAUCAUGCUGUUUACAAAGUUCACCUUAUCAGCAUGAUUUUUCCUAGUUUCCCUUGUAAUAAACUCACUUAAUGCCCCAAUCCUGCCUUGCUGCAGUUGGAUCCAUCUGGAUGUACCCUGGGCAUGCUUAGAGCCCUCACUGACUUACCAGAAUUAAUAUCCUGGGAUCUCUGAGAUAACAUGGAUGGAGCAGAAAUGCACAAAUUGCAAAUGAGAAAAUCCAUCUUUUAAAGUGUAUUUCUUAAGGUAUAUCUCCAGCAUUGUAAGGCUUUACUGUUUUUCAGGGGAAGGAUAACAGCUGAGCUGGUGUGGAGGGGGAUUUAAUCUGAUGUACUAGAUUACUUACUCCUCUUGUCCAUUCCCCUUCUUCCCCCAAAGCAAGGAGUGAACCAGGGAGGGUAAGACAGCAAGCAUUUCUUCUCUGUUCUAGUCUUACUCAGGGCAGACUGUAAAUUUAUGCCCUUAGCCUGCGUAAAUGUACAAAGUUUCACAGGCAAAGGGUUGGCUGGGUUGAAGCCCCUUUGAAAAUUUGGUCUCUAUAAGGUGUCAGAAAUCAGGGCCUGCAGCAGAACCUGUCUCAGGGCAACCUAAUGGCAACCUAAUGAGUGCAGCUGGCCUGCAGUAGGCUGUCUAAUUUGCUACACUGCCUGACUUGUUGGAAGAGUCAGCAGACCAGCUCUUAAGCCCAGCUGCAGUUCAGUGGCUGCUCGCAGCAUUCACCCAUGGCUGUGAUAGCUUCUGCCUCACCUCACUCCAAGUAAUUCAGCUUUUACUCUUGACUCUAAUUUCUGACUUCGGAUUCCAGCUUUGGCCUCUGACUGCUGUUCCUGGCUACUGAUUCCUGCUCAACCACUUGGUGUGACUGCUCAUGUCCCAGUCUCUGACAUUAGGAACAUAGGUUUUCUGUUGGAUAACAAUCUUUUUUGUCUUCUAUAUCUGAUCUUUAGUUCUGCUUAGUGUCCAUUCUGAAACCUUGUUUUCAUGUAACAGCUGUUUCUCUCACAAAUGGGUAUUUGUGUUGUCUUCUGUCUUCAUUUUGGUGAUCAUAUCCUUAACUCCUAACUUCAUUGUGUUCAUAACUUCCUAUUUAUUCCUUUCCACUUGUUAUUAAAAUACCAGACUUUUGUCUCACCCUCAUCUCUCCAGAGUAGACAAUAUUAGGUUCAGUAGAUUCUUCUGGGACACUAUGCCAGGAAUGUAGGAACCUAAAUGAAUCCUUGACUGUUUACAUUCUUAUCUCUUCCAAACAGCCUAUGACUCCUGGAACCUUUUUCUGAUUAACUAUUUCAGUAACAUUCUUGGAACCUGCUAGUGUCCUCAUGCUCAAUAAUUUGUCUCAAGUUUGAGUUAUAAUCUUUAUUGUUUCCCAUACAAAAUUGAGUAGUGCAUAUAUGCAUUCUGUAGGCAAACUAAGGCCUCAGUCCAGCCAGUGAGCUUUGCUUGUGGUUAUUGCUGGUGUGUGUGCGUACGUACAUGCACACAGAAAAAAACAUUGCAGGAUGAGGGGCUAACAGUGAUUUAGAAGGGAGAGCUAGGGUGCAUGAACAAAUUAAAAAAAAAAAUCAUGCUGCAUUUAGCUGCUUGGGUUUGUUUUGUUUUGUUUUUUAAUAGUACAUGGACAUGCCCUGCUGUAUGCACAUGUGACAGUAGCAUGCAUAUAGCUGGAGCAUUAUAUAUUUAAACAACGUGAUCUAAUGGACUAAGCACUGCACUAGAAGUCAUAGCUCUAGCACUCUUCUCCUGGUUCCGACAGAUUAUCAGACCUGGAGCAGGUCACUUAAUUCCAUUUUUGCAGAUCUGAGAAACUAAGAAGUUAAGAUACUAGUCUCAAAGCUGUUUGUGCAAUGUUUUGAUUCAGUAAGGCACUUGUAAGUAUUUAUCUGUAAACCACCUUAAGACGUGGUUGAUGAAUAAGUAAUACUUUUUUCUGUCAAAGGCACUGAUUCUCUCUGAGGACUAAGCCCAUAACAAGUUCGAGGCUUUAAAAAGAAGCUGCAAUUUGUUAUCCAAGAACAAAUAUAGUCUGAAAAAUUUUAAGUGACGUGAAUCACUGAUUUUUCAUGCUUAGAUACUUCAAACAGCUUGAUAGAUUUUUAUCAAACAAGUCAUACUUAGGCUGGAAAUAGGCACAAGAAACUCAAGCCAAAGGGAAUUUUCUUCCAAAAGUUGAAGUGCUGGUAAAUAAGGGUUUAUGAUAAAAAGUGCUUUUUCAACCAUAACUGCAGCAUCACGGUACAGUAAUUGAUUCAAGUUUAAGUACUUCAGUCAUUUUUGGAAGAUAAUUGAAUAUUUGCUUUGUGUUCCAUGAAGUAAUUGUUAAUUAUGAGAACAUGGAAAUUCUUAAAAUUGGGAAGAGUCUACUAGUAGAACAUAAGAUGCUUAUGGUUUUAUUUAUUUCUCUUCUCUACUUUUCAUGCUUAUUACCUAGCCCUGCACAUUUGUUUGCACCCUCUCCUUUCUCUAUAAAGUUACCUAGUUCUAGCAGUGCUUUAACUUUUUUCCUGCCACAGCUCUUGCCAUCUCUGGACAUUUGCUUGAUCACCAUAAUUUCCACUAAAUUGUUUCUUAUUGUUUUAAGACUUUAACUUCCAGUGAGAAUUUUUAAAUGCUGCUAAAAGAGAGGAAAAAACCUUACUGACAUUAUACAAAAUUACUUAAGCCUUUGCCUUUUACCAGUUUAAUUUACUGCAAUACAUUGUUUUCAAGGCCAGCUUUGUCGUUUUAAAAAUAGGUGGACAGUAACUAUUUACCAUAUGGUAAUAUUUCUCUGUUUUUGUUUUGUUUUAAUCUGCUUCUUUUGUUUUUAGUCUAAUAUCUACUUUGCAGAUGAACUUCAAGUACAAUGUUUCAGAGUGAGUUUGUGCAAAACUCUGAACUUCUCUCCUGAUCAGUAAGUUUGAGUCUCAUUUUAGUUUUAGUGCACGUUUGUCUUUCUGGGUUUUAGCAACCAGACUUCUCAAGUUUUUGUUUGCAUAAGGCUUCUGUUGCUCAGCUGUUUGACUCCUUUGAAAGAGCUUGGCUGUUACAACAAAGUAAUUAAUUGACUCCCUUUGCAGUUAUAUCUGUGCGAUAGCAGUUAUCUUUCAAAUCAAUGGCUGGAUAUAGUAGUGAUCAUGCUUAACUCAGGAGUUCUUUUUUCAGUAUAGAAAGUGAUUUUUUUCAAACAUAUAGCAUGUAAAUGACAAAUUAAGCUCUCCUGCUGCACUAAUAGAUAGUUUUAAUGUUAACUGUGUUCACUUCAAUCCUGCACAAACACACAGUGUUCAAUAUAACUCUUACUGUGUUUAAGAUUGGAAUAAAUUACAGGUCAGGAUUGAGAUGCCUUGAAAAGAGCUUUAUGAAGAUAGUUGCACUUUGCUAGAUGUUACAGAUAUCUCUUUAAGUUGAUGGUGCUGUUUUAUCAUGAAUUAAUCCAGAGUAUUUAAAGUAGAAUAAGACAUCAUAGGCAGGUGAUCCUGUGUUGCUCACUUGGGCAUGCCAAAUGCAUGUUUCCUAUCUCAUAAGUAAAGUCAGUGCUUCCAGAUAAAGACUUCAGUAGUUUUCUUUUGUAGUCUAAAUAGACUGCAGGGUUUUUUCUUUAUGUGGGGGGAAAGUGUCACAAUUAAGCAAUACUACAUUUUUCCCCCUCUUCACUCCUGUCACAAUGUUCACAAAACUCAACAACAAAGACACAAUUUAGCUUUCAUGAUGGUAUUAGAAUAGUGUCCCUAUUUAAAAUGUUCUUGAUCUUACAGGUCAGCAGUCUCAAAAUGGUAGAGCAUAGCCGUUGAUGAAAGUUAGAACAUGCUGCCUACUCAUAUUAAAAAAAAUAGAGCUGUUGUGGGGUAAAAAAAAUUAAAUGUGUGUCCAGCCUGAAUUUUCACAAAGCUUUAUAUAACAUAUAUCAUACUGGCAUGUAACUUUACUCAAAGGCAGACAGUUCAGUUUGUUCCAAACACCAUGCCGCUGAUUUUUUUAAGUCAAACUCUCCCUUGAGAUUGAUCAUUUUUAAUAUGCUCCAUAAAUAUUUUUAGUUGAUGUUGAGUUUGAUAAAAUUGGCUGGUUAUGUAAUGGGGGGAGACUAUCAUAUUCAGGAAUGAUGACUGAAAGGAACUUGUGUGUGCUGGCUGUUUGAGAUUUAUCUUCGUGAGCUAAAAGAAAAAGGAUAUGGGGGGAGGGGGAGAAAUGGCCCUCUUCUGAUAGAUGACAUUGCAAUAACCUUCAUUUGUUUCUUGAAAAAUAAGUGUUACAGCAGAAGGUUGUAAUAAAUGGUUCACUGCAACUUAAUGCUCAGCAGCCUAAUUAGUCAAAUACCACGUGCUUACCUGUGCAUGAAAUAACCCAUUUCUUUCCAGUGUAAAAUUGGAACUUUCGAUUCUGGAGCAACCGAAGGAGCUUUUUGUUGUAAAUGACCAUGGCUUUUUAAACUCAAAAACAGUGAAGGUCAGCAUGGUAUCCAUAGAGACUACAUGUAGUUUCCUCAUUAAUCCUGGUUUGCCCCUGAAACAGCUAGAGUCACAUACUACUAAAAUACUAAUUCUCAAUUUCAGAAGGAGAGCUUUGUAUGUAAACUGAAUGUGAUUGGGUUUCAGUAGCUGAGAGACCUUAUAUGUAUCAGAUACAAAGAAUCUGAAUGUGCAGAUAGUGGGUGCUUAUGUUUAGAGCCCUGUGUAUUUUGCAAAUGCAAAAUAAUAUGAAGUAAAACACAAAAUGAUUAAAAUGACACAACAAAAAAACUCACCUCACAAUGACUGCUCCUGUCCUAUGGGUCUGGGCCCAGCUCCCUGCUCCAAGCAUUUAAUCCUGCUCACAGGGUAGCAGCACUGCUUGGGUUUGUCUUGGCUGCUCUACUGUCACGAUGGGAUGGGGGUAGUGAGUGAGUGGUGCUGCAACGCUGUGUGGGACAGGAGUCACCGCUGAGAGAUGCGUGUGGGAUGGGCUUGCUCUGCCCCCAUUCCCUCCCCUUGUCGCAGCACCUCUUUUUCCCUUGGGGGGCAAUGAUGAAUGGAGAAAACCAAAUAAAUUAUUCCCAAAAAAUAAAAUGAAAAAUUAUAAAGAGAAUUUCACUGGGCUCUACUUAUGCUCCUUUUUUAUUUUGUAUUUUGCUUGUUGGAUUGUAGAUCUGUUUAACUGUGUGACUGUCAAAGCAUGAGUGUCUUUUUCUUCUUCUUCUUAAUACAGCCACAAUUUAAGUUUUCAGUUCUGUCACUUUUGGGGGGGGGGGGGGUGUUGGGUACUUAAUGUGAUUAGGAAAAUAGUGCAGGUGUUUAAAGGAACUUGCAUUCUUUGGUGAGCUCUGGGGAAUGAAGGCAUCGUGAAGUGAACACUUUAAAAAUACUUGUGAACUAAAGAAUUUUUAAAUUGCAGAUUUUGCUCCAUAACUUAAAUUUCAGCUGUUUAUUUUAGAUGACUGUGAUCAACAGCUGUGCUUUGUUGACAGCUCAUGUAGGCAGAGAAAUGAGGUGAAGUAUGAUGUUGUAAUUGGUGGAGCAAUAAAUCAGAGUGCUGUGCAAUGCCAUUUUAUAAACUAUUUUUUUCUUUUGAAGGGGAUUCCCAUUGUUGUGUACUGUUACGCAGUACAGUACCGUAUUGUAGUCUGUUGUUGUAAACAUCCCCGACUGGAAGCUGUAAGAGAAAUUCUAGCUUUCAGUCAGAUGUUUGCUGCAUCCGGCUAUUCAUGGACAACAUCAGAAGGAAAAGAUUAGUUAUAAAUAUAUGUAAUGUUAAAACUAUUUUAUAUGUGAUUGUGACUUUUGUCAGAAUACAUGGAAGAAAGCAUAAAUCCUAGGAACAGUCUAUAGUUUUAAUUUUUUUUAAAGUGGGUUUGACUAUAAAGAAUAAAAGUGACAUAUUUUUAAAAAAUGCAGAAAUUGCUCUGUCCCAGAGGCUAUUUUAGUAAUGUCCCUUACCCACCCCAAAUAUAAGAUAAAUGUUGUCUUUGGUAAGUGCAGUGAAUGUCUGGGUUGUGUUUUUGUCAUUGAGUUCCUGCUCUUUUGACCUUCCAUGAAGCCUGUUUGCCAUCAUGUCUGCCAGUUUGCAUGAAAAAAAUCCUAAAAUGUGAAGUCCAUGGUUCUUAAAAAAAGUGAAAUCCUUACCCCUCUCCAGCACCUUUAUGCUGGUUAAAAUGGCCAAAGUGGUAUAAAGGGGUCCUAAAAGCCCUGAUUCUGAUGGAGAGAAUUCUCUUGGUUCAGGCACUGUACACUUUCUGGAGAAUCCAGUUUGAGCUAUAUAUGCAAGCCUCUCCAGGUGGUGGUACUU